AUAAAUUAUUUAUACAUUUUUCUGAUCUUGCACAUGUGUGUUUUGGGACUCAAUUUUGUUAAAUGAAAUUGUUAAUGUUUUUGUAACAUUUAUGUUUGAUAGCAUACUGAAUGAACUCCUAGGAAAUGUAUAUUCUCUGUUGUAAAUUUGAGUUCUUUAACAAUGAAUUACCCUGUAAAUAGAAUUGUAAUUGUGAUUUCAUGUAUUUUUAAUAACCAAUCCUUCUACAAAAGUAUGUAGAUUCAUAAAACUAUGUGUAUUUAUUUUCAAAAACUAUAUUCCUAAUGAUGUGAUUGCAUGCAUAAGAUAUUUAUUAAUUUAAAAGCAUAUAAAAGAACAAACCUGUGAACUUGUAUUAUAUAUGAAGAUUAUUUAACAUCCAAGUUCAAGUCAUUCGAAAUAUUCUUCAACGGAUACGUUGCAUAUGUAUGUUCCGUUUUUUUUAAAACUUCUAUUAAAUGUGAACAAAGACCAGAUGUAAAAUGCAACAUUUGAAAUUAUCAUUACACUUAUGUAUUGAACAUAAUAAUGUUCACCAGCUACGCUAUCAUAUACAGUCUGAUAUUAAUAAUUUUUGAAUGAUCAAAGUAAACGGCUUAAUAGUCAGACUACACAAGGAUCAUGAAAUUAUGAUUUGUCUUUGAUGAAUUCUUAUCUAUAGAUUGGUUUUUGGGAGAGAUGUCUGUCCAAUUCAGUGUAGAAGUAGAGUAUAAAGUCAUGAUUUAUUUGCAGAGUUAAUUAAAAGUGCAAUAAAUAAAGUUUUGUUAUGCC
rnacentral:sRNA from 1 species